rnacentral:rRNA from 1 species
AGAGUUCGAUCCUGGCUCAGGAUGAACGCUGGCGGCGCGCCUAACACAUGCAAGUCGAACGAUUAAAGCACCUUCGGGUGUGUAUAAAGUGGCGAACGGCUGAGUAACACGUGGGCAACCUGCCCCUCUCAUUGGGAUAGCCACGGGAAACCGUGGAUAAUACCGAAUACUUCGAGACUUCCGCAUGAAAGACUCGAGAAAGCUCCGGCGGAGAGGGAUGGGCCCGCGGCCUGUUAGCUUGUUGGUGGGGUAACGGCCUACCAAGGCAAUGAUGGGUAGCUGGGUUGAGAGACCGACCAGCCAGAUUGGGACUGAGACACGGCCCAGACUCCUACGGGAGGCAGCAGUGGGGAAUCUUGCACAAUGGGCGAAAGCCUGAUGCAGCGACGCCGCGUGCGGGAUGAAGGCCUUCGGGUUGUAAACCGCUUUCAGCAGGGACGAGGCGAAAGUGACGGUACCUGCAGAAGAAGCCCCGGCUAACUACGUGCCAGCAGCCGCGGUAAUACGUAGGGGGCAAGCGUUAUCCGGAUUCAUUGGGCGUAAAGCGCUCGUAGGCGGUCUGUUAGGUCGGGAGUUAAAUCCGGGGGCUCAACCCCCGUUCGCUCCCGAUACCGGCAGACUUGAGUUUGGUAGGGGAAGGUGGAAUUCCUAGUGUAGCGGUGGAAUGCGCAGAUAUUAGGAAGAACACCAGUGGCGAAGGCGGCCUUCUGGGCCAUAACUGACGCUGAGGAGCGAAAGCUAGGGGAGCAAACAGGAUUAGAUACCCUGGUAGUCCUAGCCGUAAACGAUGGACACUAGGUGUGGGGGAAUAUUUCUUCCGUGCCGCAGCUAACGCAUUAAGUGUCCCGCCUGGGGAGUACGGCCGCAAGGCUAAAACUCAAAGGAAUUGACGGGGGCCC